CCAAUGUGGGAAUCUUGCGUGUCAUGCAUGCAAGCUCCUCCCGAGUAGACCAGAGCUGAGUACGCCUACCUUGUACACCAAAUGAAGUGCAUUCUGUCUACAGCAUUGGAUAUUGAUACAGCUCGCUGUCAAUUUCAUUUUGAAAUUGAUUGGUUUGUAGCUGUGCUCUGCAUAUUCCAUUGCCUUCUCCUAGUCACUAUGUGACCAUGAUUGAGGAGACAAACCAUGCAGUUGACAAAU